AGUGAACGCUGGCGGCAGGCCUAACACAUGCAAGUCGAACGGCAGCACAAGAGAGCUUGCUCUCUGGGUGGCGAGUGGCGGACGGGUGAGGAAUGCAUCGGAAUCUGCCCAUUUGUGGGGGAUAACCUCGGGAAACCGGGACUAAUACCGCAUACGUCCUACGGGUGAAAGCAGGGGAUCUUCGGACCUUGCGCAGAUGGAUGAGCCGAUGCCGGAUUAGCUAGUUGGAGGGGUAAAGGCCCACCAAGGCGACGAUCCGUAGCUGGUCUGAGAGGAUGAUCAGCCACACUGGGACUGAGACACGACCCAGACUCCUACGGGAGGCAGCAGUGGGGAAUAUUGGACAAUGGGCGCAAGCCUGAUCCAGCCAUGCCGCGUGUGUGAAGAAGGCCUUCGGGUUGUAAAGCACUUUUGUUGGGAAAGAAAAGCAGCCGGUUAAUACCCGGUUGUCAUGACGGUACCCAAAGAAUAAGCACCGGCUAACUUCGUG
rnacentral:rRNA from 1 species